CGGAGGAUCCAAGCGUUAUCCGGAAUCAUUGGGUUUAAAGGGUCCGUAGGCGGUUUAGUAAGUCAGUGGUGAAAGCCCAUCGCUCAACGGUGGAACGGCCAUUGAUACUGCUAGACUUGAAUUACUAGGAAGUAACUAGAAUAUGUAGUGUAGCGGUGAAAUGCUUAGAGAUUACAUGGAAUACCAAUUGCGAAGGCAGGUUACUACUAGUUUAUUGACGCUGAUGGACGAAAGCGUGGGUAGCGAACAGGAUUAGAUACCCUGGUAGUCCACGCCGUAAACGAUGGAUACUAGCUGUUGGGAGCAAUUUCAGUGGCUAAGCGAAAGUGAUAAGUAUCCCACCUGGGGGAGUACGGGCGCAAGCCUG
rnacentral:rRNA from 1 species